rnacentral:rRNA from 1 species
CUCGUUCAGUCGGUGAUUUGCGCAAUCCUCACUCACUCUAUGCUGGCACUAGGCUUACCGCCAAAGACAAUUGCCACGAUGAAUAAAGUCUGUCGUGGAUUUUGGUGGGCUGGCAAGGCAGAAGUGGGCGGAGGCGCGUGCGCUGUAGCCUGGAGUCGGGUGUGCACGCCCAAGUGGUCGGGCGGUCUUGCCACACCAGACUUGGCCUGGACAAAUAUGGCUUUGCAGGCCAAAUGGCUAUGGCUGCAGAGGGUGGAUCGGGACAGACCAUGG